GUGUAGUGGUUAGGGUGUUGGACUGAGGCGUUGGAGUCCCUAGUUCAACCCCGGCUGU
rnacentral:tRNA from 1 species